CCUGCAAAGAUGCCCAGCACUAGUUAUUAGAAAGGUUAGUGUUCACUGUAACCCUGCAAAGAUGCCCAGCACUAGUUAUUAAUUAGAAAGGUUAGUGUUCACUGUAAACCUGCAAAGAUGCCCAGCACUAGUUAUUAGAAAGGUUAGUGUUCACUGUAACCCUGCAAAGAUGCCCAGCACUAGUUAUUAAUUAGAAAGGUUAGUGUUCACUGUAAACCUGCAAAGAUGCCCAGCACUAGUUAUUAGAAAGGUUAGUGUUCACUGUAACCCUGCAAAGAUGCCCAGCACUAGUAAUUAGAAAGGUUAGUGUUCACUGUAACCCUGCAAAGAUGCCCAGCACUAGUUAUUAGAAAGGUUAGUGUUCACUGUAACCCUGCAAAGAUGCCCAGCACUAGUUAUUAGAAAGGUUAGUGUUCACUGUAACCCUGCAAAGAUGCCCAGCACUAGUUAUUAGAAAGGUUAGUGUUCACUGUAACCCUGCAAAGAUGCCCAGCAUUAGUUAUUAGAAAGGUUAGUGUUCUAUGGUACAGGCGUAUAGAAUUAACCUUUGAUUAUGGAUUUUCUGGUUUGCUUGUUUUUUUUUUUUUUCUCCUUUGAUCCUAUUUCAAGAAUUUGUAUCUCCCAAUUCUUGAUCCAUUACACUUCUCCUGGUCUCACGUUGAUUAACACUUUUUAAAUCAAGCAAAAAAUAGCUUGAAGUCAUUCCCAUCUGUAAAUGGAAAAGACAUUUACAAGCAGUUCCUCUUGGUCCCAGAUGGAAUAGAGGAAUCCUGUACCUGCUUGUUAUUUCUUAGUUAAAAUCAGUAAGAGCAGAAACUUAGAUUCUACAUCUGAAAUUUUUGAGAAAGAAAUGAAAUGAACCUUGUAGAAUUUCAUAUGAUUUUAAAAGCUGUAUGCUUCUGAAAGCUAUGAUGUAUUAGGUAUAUAGGUUAGAGAAAAGUUAUAAAAACAGUAUAAAGUUAUAGAGAGUACAAAGUUUAUCUGUAAUAUACUCUCAAUUUUGUAAUAAUAUCUUUCUCUGUUAAAAAAAUUUCUAAAGUAAUUUACCAUAAAACAAUUUAUAUUCUAAUUAUAAAUAACUAUUACUUAUAUGUUUUAAAUGAAUUUUUAAGGUGGUUUGUUAAAUUUACCAAAUGGGUUUCUUAAACAUAGUUUUCUUAUUCUGAUGAUUGUUUUCUCAGUUCACCCAAAUAGGACCUUUCUGGCUAUCUAUCACUGGACAAACCUUCAAAGAAAGAUCCUUGGUAUCUACUUAUCCAUUUGCUCUCACAGAGCCUCCUGAGAGAUUCCCCGAGUCUAAGCUCUCUGUGAAUGUGUUUCUCAGUUUCUGUCUUAUUCAUUCCAAACUGUGGGGAAAAUGGGAGUUGUAGACCCUCUGUGUGAUUACCUUAGCUUCAGGGGUUUGUAGGAGUAAUAGUGUAAAGGCUAAGAAUAAGUUGUUUUUGUUCACCAGCUCAGUGCGUGAUUGCGAAUAUGUACUGUGAGCAUCUCAGCCAUCAUUUCUAACUGUAUGCUAAGUUAGUGUGGUCCUAUGCUCUGUCUGUAUCACCUUUUAAAUGACUGGAUUCAGGAGAGUAAAGAACACUCUCUUUGAGGCCAGAUAAAAACAAAUUUUAAGUCUUCAUCUUAGGCAGACUGUUGGUUUUGUAAUACAGAAAGCCUUUGUAUUGAUGUUGCUGUUUUUUUUUUUUUUUUUUUUUUUGGAAGCUUUUGAUUUCAGUUUUAGAAAUACUGAUAUAACACCCUCAAAAACAUCAGAGUGGGAAUUCAUGAGCCUCUUUUUUUGUUGACAUUUAUAUUCACAGACAAACUUAAAUCUAGAGAGAACUUUGAAGACAUUCUAAAUAGUCAUUUUAUUCUUAGAAUGCAUAGAAACCAUGCAGUUGCUCAGUUGCUUUAUUGUGUAUAAAUAUCAAAAUUAUAUAUGGCUUAUAUUUAAUAUGAAAGUACUUGGAAAUAUUUUAUCUACUUUUUAUAGAGAAAGAAAUUUGAUAUUUAAAGGAUUAAGUAAUUUAUUAAGGACAGUAGAUUAGAACUUAAAUUCACUCUAGGGUUAGUGAGUGAUCUUUCUACAUUUUCCUUAUAUGCUAGGACUAAUGUUCAUCAAUAUCAUGACUUAUCUAGACUAUUAAGUAGCAGUAAUUAUUUUUCCAGAACUUUGACCAUUACCUACUCCUAUGCCUGUAGGUAUGAUCUAUAUUUACAAACAGAACAAAACAGUGUGUAUGACAUGGUGGUGGGAGCAUGGGGAAUGGAUUUCCCAGUAUCUCUCAUUUGGUUUUGGAUCCUGUGUAGUCUCUCUUGGUCUCUUGUAUGGCUUUGUUAGAAACCAUUUUCCUUUGUUUCUCUCAUUCUCCAUAAUUGGACUUGGAGUUCCUUAUUUUGUCCUAAACAAUUUUGUCCUAAAUGAGUUGUAGACUCCUGUCCACUACUGAGAUACAGUGCUACUACAAAUCAGCUGAAGAUUAAUAUUACCUUGUUAUUAGAUAGUGGGAAGAAUAUCAAUAAACAGAAACUGAGUAGCAGACACUGGCAUGGAGCAUUCACCUACACUUUGUGUACUAGGCCGCCUCUUUUUCAGAGAAAGUUUUGUCCAGGUUCAACAGAGUUGGUAUUUUAGGAAUACCAUCAUCAUGAUUUUAGGAAUAAUCUCAUCAUGUCUCCACUAUGUACACCCAUCUGUCACCCAUUCUUUGGCAAAGGUUGAAUAUGAGAAAUGCCACUGUUGGCUCAAAGCACAACAGGGUAGCCUUCUACAGCACUGAGGUUUGCAGCAGGAGGGAGAAGGCUGCUUGUCUAUAGGAUUUGAAGUGCUAUAACAUUCAUCUAUCUGCUUUAUUUUUCAGCUAUUGAUGUUCCAAGUCUAAUAUUUAUCUAUUCUAGAAAGUUAUGAUAGUAAUAUUGACAUUUUGAAAGUACUGAAACAUAAAACUUUUCAAUUUUAAGAAUUUUACAUUUCCCCAUAACAGUUUACUUGGUAACUAAUUCUUAUUAAUUUUUUAAAUUUAGUUUAAUGUUUAGAAGUAGUAAGAGAAUCCAUGGUGUCUUGUUAGUUCUCUUAACUUAUUGUCUUUCUCAAUUAAAAGGAAUCCUAAUUGUAUAGUGUGAGCCUGGUUGCACCUGGCACAUGUUUUCAUUUUUAACUUUUGUUGGCAUGAGAUAUGAUAUAUUAUCAAGGAACAGCACCUCAUCCUCCAUGACCUAUGCCUCUAUCUUUUUCCUUUUCCUUUCCUUUAUAUUAUUGUAGUUUCCCUUUGUGUGGUUUGUGGGGUUUUUUAAGUCAGAGAUGCAGUGUAUUGUAUGCACUCAUCAAAGGGGAGGGAUCUGUCUCCUGCUUUUGAUCUCUGAGAUUACUUGUGUGAUGUUAGAAUGCAGAGAAGUGAGACCGCAGUAACUGUGGGUCUUCAGAGGGUGUGUGUCUCCAGGAAAGGAAGGACAUCUAAGACAACUGCUGGAAAGAAGCAUAGACAGGAACGCCCAGAUGCCCUAGCCUGCAGUUGUAGCAUACUCAGGCCUUUAGUCUCACAGAGUUCUGCCCCCAACCUCGCAUGUACAGAGCAAAUAAACUUUUCAAUAUUUUAAGCAACUGACAUUGGGGUCUCUAAUAGUAGAUACUGUAGUUGAUUACUGAGACAGGAUUUAUAUCCUGCAAACCAUCAUAUCUUCAUUAUUAUCAUAUUAUCAACCUCUUAUCACAUGUGUUUACUGUCAUUCUAGAAUCCUGUGUUGCAGUGAGAUCUGCAAUGGGAUGGGUAUUGUGUUAAUUAUGGUAUUUAUUUUUUAGUGGCUGUUGUGCAGUGAUAAUCCUUUUCUCUUAAAUUUUUAAAUUUUAAUUAUUCAUCGAGAAAUUCAUAUUCAGUGUUUUAAAAAUUAUAUUCACCAUACGUUUCUUUACCUAUUCAAACUCUUUCCAGAUCUUCCACCCCAAUGUUCUUCAUCUCUUAUUUAUUUAUCUUGUUUUUAUUAGUAGCGCCUGAGUCCCAUUAGUAUUUUCCAUAAGCACAUAUACAUAGGGCCAUCCAUUUGAUACUUAACCUACCAGGGACUCCACUCCUAAUGAAAACUGACUCUUCUUCCCUUAGCAGCUAGCAACUACCAAUAGCUUCUCAACUAGGGGUAGGAACUUGCAAUCACCUCCCGAUCCAUUCUAGAAUGUCGAUUGGUUCCAUCUUGUACAGUCAACCACAGCUACAGAUACAAUGAAAUCUUGACUACAAAUCUGUCCGUCUGUCCAUCCAUCCAUCCAUCCAUCCAUCCAUCCAUCCAUCCAUCCAUCAAUCUAUUUAUCUUUGUCUGUGUAUGUGUGUUCCAUUUAUGGCUGAGCACUCUAACGUUCUCUUUAGUCUGUCCAGUUAAGAGUAUGGCAUGAGAAUAUGGUAUUAACCACUUUUCUCUCCUUCACAGGAAGAAACCCAUGACUGGUAUGGCAAACUGGCCAAGAAAACUUAUUGCUGGGUAGCUCAUGGGCUCCAAAGCAAGCCUACUACUGUAGUUUUGCUAAAUGGAGAUAGUAUGGAACUGCCUUCUAAAUAAAGAUCUGUGUACUCACAGAUGAGCAGAGGUCUCCAAGAAUGUUAAUCUUUGUCCAGUGGACAGCUGAGAGAGAGACUCACAUCUGGUUAGUGGGACUUUUACCAUUCAGAGCAGAUGUGUCUGAGUGGCCAUUUCUCUACCGGACAUAGAAACAAGUGCUUUCAUGUAGUUGUAUGUGGGAGACAAAAAUGUUCCUUGUCUCUACAAAACACAUGAUUACAAAAGGACUUAUUCAUAAAGAAUUCUUCCUAUCACCUCUGUAGUCACCUCUCAGUCUCCUUGAAUAAGGGUAUACAUCACAUUUUUUUUUAACAGAUAAAGAAAGGAUAUGUGUGAAAAUAAAAUUUUAAAGCAAGGGCUGAGACAUUCCAGGGGGAGUUUGUAAUGUAUAUUUUCUGUUCAAAUUAUAAGUGUUCCCAGGGCAACUAAGAAGGUAGUUAUUUAGUUUUAUUUUAAACUUUCUGGAAGGAUCUGGAACAUUUUAACAGUACAACUUUUAAUUUCCUGAGCAGAAUGAAUACUAGUUUUAAGGUCCUUGGAUCAGCUUCUACAAGCAAUUUCCUUUGAAAGCUCAGGGUAGCAGUUUUCUCAUUUUGUUGUCACUGUUUUUAUAUUUAAAGAUUAAUUGUUUUUUUUUCUGUUGUCUUUCUGCCUUGAAACUACAGUCUUCAAACUCUACAAAAUAGUUGAUUUAAAUGAAUUACUAAUAUUAUGUUGGAUCUAAUUCAGUAUUAGAUGUAUAAGAUAGAAAAGUUGCUUUUCAGAUCGAUACAGUAGAUCUUGUUAUACACAUCCAAUGAUUUUGUUUCUUAUUUUUCUGAUUAUGACUUUAAUAGUUUACAGUUGGGAUAAAUAGUCUGCUAUUUUGGAAAAAUGCUUUUGAGGUGCUAAUAAAAAGGAUAAUAUAUUCCAGGGAAUUUUUUUUUCUUCUUGCGUUCUUUACUUUUAUUUUUUUAUUUGUUUAGACACAGGGAUUUUAUUUCACAUAUAACUUAUAUAAGUAAGGAUAAUUAAACUUUGUCCUUCCAUCGGUGUUUGGAGAAUGUAUAUUUUAAUUUACAACCCUUACAAUAGUAUUUUCACUUACUUACAUGUUAUUUCUUUAACUGAAAAAAAUUUUUUCAUACAGUAUAUUCUGAUUAUUAUUUCUAUUCCCCCAGCUUCUUACAUAUCCUUCCUCAUUCAAAAUCCAUAUCCUUUCCUUCCCUCAUUAAGAAACAGUCAGGCAUAUAAUAAUAAUAAUAAUAAUAAUAAUAAUAAUAAUAAAAUAGUAAUAAUAACAAAGACCUAACUGUAAUACAAAAUAAAAUAAAACAAACAAACUAGAAUAGGACUAAAUAACAAAAAUGAGCCACAAACAAGCACAAGAAACACAUCUAGACUAAGACACAUACAUUCACACUCAAAGAAAAUCCAUUAACACAAAAUCAGAGAGCAUACUAUAAAAGCAAAAGAUCUGUAAAUAUGCAUUAUGAGUGCCCCUUCAAAAACACCAAAAACAAAAGAAAAAAAUUCUCUGAAAUUACCAUUGAGUUCAUUUUGUGUUGGCCAUUUACAGUUUGCCCUUACGUGUGGUAGGAGUGCCCAGUGAGAUUCCAUUGGUGAAAACGAAUUCUUCCUUUGUAAGUGGUUGAGUUGGAGAUAGCUUCUAGGUUAAGGAUGGAGGCUUGUGUCUAUUUCCCAUCUCAGUAUUGAGAGCCAUCUUGCUUGACCUGUGUAGGCCUUGAGGAUGCUGCCAGAGUUUCUGUGAAUUCAUAUGUGUGUUGUUGUUGUUGGGUCUUGGGGCCUUGGUUUGUUUGUUUGUUUUAGUUUUGUUGGGGUGGGUGGGUUUAUGUGUGUGUGUGUUCCAUUCCUACUGAUCUUACUUUCUUUCUGCCUUCUCUUCUGCAGACUUCCUUGAGCACAAAGGGAAGAGAUUUAAUGGAGACACCCCAUUAUGGAAUGAAUGUUCUAAGGUGUCUCGCUUUCUACACAUUGUCCAAUUGUGGCUCUCUGUGUUUGUUCCCAUUUGCUGUAGACGGAAGCUUCUCUGAUGGUGACUGAGCAAAGGCACUGAUCAGAAUACCUUCACUGCUGUAUUCCAUUAGCAGAAUAGUUGUAUUUUUCUUUUCUCUGUCUUUGGUCAACCUAUUCUCAGGCUUUUGGCCAACCGGGCAGUGUUGGGCAUGGGCUCUAUCUUGUAGAGUAGCCUUAAUGCCAAUAAGAUAGUAGUUGGGUACUCUUCAGGAGUAAAUUUUCUAAAGAAAACAGAGGAGGAUGCUAUUUUGGAGGAAAUUCUAGUCUUUAAAGUUUUCAUCUUAAUGUGGAUACUUUUUAGUUCCUUUUAACUCUAUAACUCAGACUCUUUAUGUGCUGGUUAAAUUUUUAAAUAUAUCUCUCAUGGGUCUUUAGUAUUUAUAUUUUCAAAAAUUGAUGGCUAAAUACUCAACCUGAGAUGUUGUUUCCCAUUGGGCAUGGUAAGAUUGCUUGGUUAUUAACACCUGUUCAGAUAGCUGCUUUUCAUGUUGUAAUGAGUAGAGACCAGAAAUGAUAGAGAUGACUCUGUGGGACACAGUAUCUGGCUCAUGGAAGGAGGCCAGGAAGUGGUUCUUGAAUGGGUGACUGACAGAUUAGUCAAGUAACAAUGCUGUAAAAUGUCUUUUUUUUUUUCAAAUAGUUGGAGAGAAUCAACUUUGUAAAAUAUUAUACUACAUGUUCAAAUAUAGCAUGUGAUUGUCUUGUAAAUAUGCAUACACUGAGGGUUGUUACACACUCUCUGUGCAGUAGCAAAGAUCAAAGUUAGACACUUAUUUUGGUUGUAUAAGAGAGUACUUGCCACUUGGUAGACUGAGAAAAAGACAUUCAUUUAACACAUUAAUAGGUGAGCAUUGUUAUCUUUGUUGAUCAUGCCAUGCCAUGUGUCUCAUAUUCAUUUUGUUGUGUGGCUGUAGAAUGAGCACAGUUCUUUAGAGUUUUCCGUAAUAUUUGGUAUGAAAGAACUAUUACAUUGGGGAAAACACAUAGUAUUUGUAAAUAGGAGAACACAAUAGUUUAGUAAAUAUGUUUCUUACUUUAGAAAAUCAGACAUGGAUAUGCCAUGUGACGACCCUGUUUAAAAAUGAGGAGGCUUUAACUCUGUGAUGCAUGCUUUCCUAGUCUCCAUUCUUGCUGAAGUUUGCACUCUGCUAUUUCAGUGAAGGAGAAAAUAAAUUCAAUUAAUAACAGGAGCUUUACUGAAGUGAAACAUUGUUUAAUGUAUUGUAGAAGCAUUUCUAUGAAAAAUGGGAUGAUUAACUUCCUCAGUAGGAAGGUUCAUCUUGGGGAUUUAGUUCCUUCUCCCAUGUAGUAGGGUUGAGACAGGAGUGUGAAGUUCCUUCCCUGACAAGGGCACUUAGAGCUUUUCAGAAUGACCUUUCAUUGAUGGCCCAGAGUGAGUGCAGAGCAUUUAGAGGAAGGACACAUUUGCUGGUGCAUAUGACAGUAGCUCUUAGUGUAUAGUUGCUUAGAACUGCUGUGAAAGUCUAAAACUCUAGAUACAGGUUUAGAAACCUGUAUUUUUACUAUUUUUACUGUAUACUUAUUUAAUAUGAUACCAUGUUCUCAAGAGGACCACAUUGAGUCUAGACUUAGCUGUCUUCAUCUUGAAGUAAUUUGAAGUGAGUCAGGGUGUUCAUUAGUGUAUCACCAGGGGCUAAUGCAGAGCUUGGCACACAUGAGGCUCUUAGAUAUUUUUUUUGCAUUUGUGGAAUAAGUAGGUGCUAAAAUGUAUGGUGAGGAAAUAUGAUAGGAAUCCCAAGGCAAGGUAAUCAGUAUGAGUGGGGUCCCAACCUGAACCUUAAAUCCUGAAUGAUAAGUUCUUCAUGACGGAUGCUUAACAAACUGUAUCCCAACUCCCUUCUUUUUUCUUGUUCUCUUAGAAUUGUUAAUUCAUCCAAAAUGUAUGUUUGAAUUUUUGUUCAUAUAAUCUCUCUAGGUGCUGAAGAUGGAACAUUAUAAAUUUAUUUUAUAGGAUUUAUUUUAAUGGAUGGAGCUGUGUAAAAUGGGCUUAAAUAUAAGUAUGGAAAUUAGAUUAGAUUAGUUGGGCAGAAGGGCAGUGGGUAGGACAGAUUCACAGGUAGGAUGCACUGCAGAGUCAGCUGUUACAUUUCCCUUUGCAACAUAAUUUUAUGGUGGAGAGGGAUCAAGCAGGGGGAAGGACAAGGCACUCACACACAAAGGAGACUCUUAGCCAGUACUAGAUACGUAGAAUAUGAAAGUAAGAGGCCAACUCAAUAAUACUAUGAGAGCCACCUUUGGCCUGUGUUGGAGGCAGAGGGAGAAAGAUGGCUGAGACAAAAAAAUUCAUCUAUGAAAUGUGUAUAUAUUUCCCUCUCUUCCUCUUCUCUGUCUCAUCUCCUUCCCAUACUCUUACCCUCCCUCCUCCUCUUUCUUUUCACGAGUGUGUCUGUGUGUGUGUGUGUGUGUGUGUGUGUGUGUGUGUGUGUGUGUGUAUGUAUGCAUAUGUGCACACAGGUAUAUGUGUGUCAUGGCUACAUACGCAGAGGUCAGAGGACAGGCAAAGGUGUUGGUUCUUGAUUUGCUUGAGACAGGGUUUCUUAUGUUGUAAAUUGCUCUAUACUCCUUACUAACUGUCCUGUGUCCAACAAUUCUUCUGUGUCUAUCUCCUAUUACUUGGUAGAAUCAUACUGGAAUUACACAUAUGCUGGUAUAUCUAUUUACUCACCUUAGGAGGAUCUGAACUUAGGUAGUCAUCAGGCUUGUCAGGCAAGUAUUUGACCACUCUGCCUUCUCCUCAGCCCUCCUCCAGUCUGAAGUAUAACUUGUUUAAAACUUAGAUAGGUGGUAGAUGACCUGAGUUAGGCUAGUUAAGACUAUAAACUGAUAGAUCUCAGAAGCAGGAUGAGACUCCAAGAAGCAGAGAUUCAUUCUGCAUGGAUUCACUCACCUCAUUCUGGGGCUCAUUUUUGGGGCUGCAAUGAUGCAACAGAAUAUAUGGGGUGUCUGCUGUGGUGAUGUUUGUUUUCUAACUUGUUGACAAAGAGGGCUUGUCUAGGAGUGUUGGGAGUCUUGAUAUAUGUGUUGAGUACAUGGGAAGGGGCAAAUGUUUGGUCCAAGUCUGGGCAACACAUAUUUUACAUAUUGUAUCUAUAUUUCGAUAGAACAAUGUAAGGAUAGUAAUUAGCUACACAACAGUAAAUACCAAAACUGAGAUAAAAAAAUGCCAAAGAAUUUUAGUAGAAUUUUUUCAGUCAGGUACAGUUCUUUUUCUAUGUGAAAAAGAAGGAAAAAAAAGCCAGGCAUUUCUUAGACUUUAAAUUCUAAGCUGUUGUUUUUAUGCAAGUUCAGUAACUUAAUGUCUCUUAUUGCUUAUUACUUGGCACUAUCUGACUAGCCCAUCCAUGUCAGUGUAGGCUGGUCUCCAACAAAUGCCUGAAAGGAACGGACGCCAAUGAUUCAUCGGAGUUUAAGCAUAUUUGGCACAGAGUCCUAUCCUGUGUUUUGGGACGUGGUUGAUACUAAGAGACCCUGAACAUCCCUUUCUUUUUCUGCCUUCUACCUGUCUGGAAUGGCCAUGAACUGGGUGGUUCGUGUUUUGGAUUAGGUAUAUGCAUAGGUUGGCAUUGAUCCGAAGGCUGCUUUUUUUUUUUUUUUUUAAUCUUAAUAAGCCCCAAGAACAGCAUUCUCAGUGGGUGUGGAAGUGAGUGGGACAUGAAGUGAUGGUUUUAUAUUGCAUUGCCUGGCUACAGCUUGGCAUUUCUUUCCUUUUUCUUUGCGUCACUGGUAUUGGUGCCACUAAUUUUGCUCCCCACCCCCAACACUUUCAUAACAUGUUUCCCGGGGAGCUGCUUGGUGUCUCAGCAUUAAGCUUCCUUUGGAGUCUUAGCACUGCUCUCACUGAACCUCCUGGGAUGUGUUGUUCAUCCACAUGAUCGAUGUUAAAACUUCCUCUCUGGGGGUUGUGUGUCUUCCUAUAUCUUAUCCCUGGCCAUCAUGUACUCUGGAUAAAAGAAUAAAGGAUUAUGUACUCUAAAUGCCCCAAACCCUCAAAAGUGGGGAAAGUGUGUCAUGAAGUAGGAAAAAA